AUGUCAAACUUUAGCCUCUUAUAAUAUAUAAGAGACAUCAUCUUUCCUGAAGACUAAGAUAGGCCUACUUGUUCGACAGUCUCAGUGGAUAUCUACCUUGUGCAGCCCUGCUCUGGAACAAGCUGCUGUGAGAUUGUGAAAAUCUUUACCCUGCGGAAAUUCCGCAUUCAUUGCCGACCAAACACCUCCCCUCCCCGACUGACUACUGGCCCAAACAUCUCCUCAGGUAGCGUGAAGUCAAUCUUUUAAGCAGUUUGUAAAGUUUUUUAGCCGCGUCUAUGGGAGAAAUGGCGGAGCAAAAGAACUUCGCUGAAGUUAUUACUCAGAUAUUACAAGAAGCGCCAGAUGCCAGGAAACUUCUCGCUGAUAACCAGAGCAACCUCCUCCGAGUCGCAGAUUACUGCGAAAACAAUUAUCUCCAGGCAGAGGAUCCAAGUAAGGCUCUUGAUGAAGCCAAGGCUUUAGCUAACCAGGCGCUGGCCAGUGUGACCUACCAGAUCAACAGCCUGGCCAGCAUUCUGCUUAGACUGCUGGACUCACAGGCGAUGCAGAUUAAAGCCAUUGAGUCCUCUAUCAACAUGCUGUCACUGGCUGCAGCGAUCCACCACGAGAAGGUAGCAAGGAGAGAGAUUGGUGUUUUUACCACUCCCAAAAACAAGAGCCGCUCCAAGCUUAUGACCCCGCCCCCUUCAGGCAGGCAGCCAGAGAGAAGCUACUCAAGAGCACCAAUAUCAUACUCCAUCUUGGACUCCACUGGACACUGUUUUCAGGUCAUAGGGCAGCAGCCCAGGAAGACAGCAGACAGCAUACAGAGCACUGCAGACACCUCUGCAUCCAGUCUUGGCAUCGCUGUGCCUCCGCCAUCAGUCCCCACCAACGACAGCCUCCCUCCCCCUCCUACUGCUGACCUGGACUCCAGCGUGACUUCUCCUCCACCCCCACCACCUCCCCCUUCCUCCAUGGACACUGGCCUCCUCCCUCCGCCUUCUUUGACCUCACCCACAUGUCUCCCUCCACCCCCGCCUCCGCCAUCAUCAGGAGCUAGUCCUCUUCCCCCUCCACCUCCACCUCCACCAUCAUCAGGAGCUGGCUCUCUUUCUCCUCCUCCUCCUCCUCCUCCUCCUCCCCCACCAGUGUCAGGAGCUGGUUCUCUUUCUCCGCCUCCUCCUCCUCCUCCACCCCCACCAGUGUCAGGAGCUGUGCCCCCUCCUCCUCCGCCACCCCUUCAUACGGGCACCUCUGGUACUGUGCCACCACCACCUCCUCCACCUCCUCCGCCUCCCCCUCUCCUACAUUAAGUAUAGUUCGUGCUAUGGGAGGAUUUUAUGUUAAGCUCGGGUGCAGCGGUGAACAGUGUGAGCAGACAUGCUGGCUGUUUGCAAUUAGACUGGUGUGUAAAACAUGUGCAGCGUGUUGUGAGAUCAACAUCAAGCAUAAAUAAAAGUUUGAAAACUUGUGUGAAGUGGUUUCACCUUGAACUGUUUCAUCUGUGUUGAAUGACACAGUGAGAGCCUCGAAUGAUAUUCUUUCAGGGACAGAAAGUCUGCGUCCAAAGCGAGACAUUCUGCUGUGUUGAGUGCUGCUCUGCUGAACAAGUUUCAACAACACGUUGCCUGCAUUCCUAAGAAACAAGCUGAAACAGGGAUUCUUGUGUUUCCCUGUUAUCAUCUCUUUUUUUUCCUGUAAUGUGAUUUCCCUUCCUUAUUAUGUCUUUGUGUUAUUACAGUUUCUCAAUCAGUAAGAGUCACCUUAAAAGCCAGCGGCCUUUCACCUAGCACUCAUUCUACCGUGUCAAUGAUGAGGUUGCUUACAUCACAGGCUGUAACCUCAGUGAGUUCUGCUACUUUAAACAGGUCAAUGACACUAUAAAAUGUCUGUUGCAAGUCAACACUCUUACUUAAUCUUCACUACAUGGCUGCUACUUAAAAGUUGUGAAACCUGAUUUGGAAAAACAAAACUGCCAUGAUUCUUCAUCAUCUUAUGGCUGAGAUUCCCGCGUUAUUUUUGGGUAUCACUCUGUGGCUUUUGUGUUGCCAUUAUGCAAAGAAACACAGAGAAAGGGAAAACUUGCCCGUGAGUCCCAGUAUUUCUUCAUCCGUAUACAUCAUCCCCAUAUAUGAGAUGGAGCGAGAGGACGAGCAGGACGAGGGACUAGUGGACAUAUAUGAACCAUAUUCUCAAGCUCCUCACACAGACCCGCCUCCGUACAGGCUUGAAGCACCAUCGUACGCAGACCCCCCACCAUCAUAUACAGACCCUCCAUCUUACUCAGAGCUGCAGUGAUCCUCCUCACUUUCCUCCUCCUCCACCUCAAACACCCUCCAGCCUGAACACAUUCAACUUCUCAUUACAGGGCAGUUACACGUUGAGAUGUCAGGGCCAAGAUUUGCAUUUCAGCGUUACUUUUUCUAAAUGUCCGUGUACUCUCUGCUUUAAAUCUGUACUUCUUUUCCUCCUUGGUCCUUCUGUAACAUCACUGACGCUAUUACUUUUUGCAUAUAUUUUAUUUUCAGUAGACAUUCCCUACUUUUUUUUUCUACUUUAGCUACAAAUCUUUUUUACACAUUCUCUUGCACAGCUUUUCAAAAGGUGAUAUGCAACCACAGAGUUUGAAAGUCUUUCUGAACAUUUAUAACAACUACAUUUUUGACCCUUGUUUAAGCCCAUACAGGUCACAGUCACUUUUAAUGCAAGUAUGUGGUUAUAUGUUUUAUUUGGGACGUAUGUGUAUAGGAUGAAUGUACCUUGAAACAAUGCACUAAAUCUGAUUGACAGAAAUACUGAAUUAUGUGCACCAUAUGUAAGGUAUGAAGUAAAAUAUUUAAGUAUGGGCACUAAUUGUUUACAUAUUUUAAUAAAC